CGGUGGGUGUGGUCUGUUCACCCCACUUGCUUGAGCAUACUAGGAGGUGAAGCACAUAGGGGUAGUAUUUUCUUGUCUCUGUGAUAGAAGACCUGGCAAAACCAAAUCAUAGCUCACUGCUUCAGAGGGUUUAGUCCAUGGUAACCUAUCCGAUGAUCUUCAGCAGAAUACCAUGGCAGUGGGAGUAACCGGAAGAGGGACGUCUCAUCUCAUGGACAAAAAGCUGAAGGACCAUUUUCCUGAGUUCCUGAUGCCUAUGGCCAUCUGUCCACUUUCCUGAGUUCCUGGUGCCUAUGAAAUGGCCAGAGUGGGUCUCCUGAAACAUUUCCUAGUGUGACACAACCUUUCUUCUGUAUUGAAGAUGGAAGGCUUCAAGGACCUGUGCUGUUAUUGAGUAGAACAGUGCAGCCUCAGGACAGGAGGCAUGUGGGGCUCUGAAGAGCUUUACAAUCGUGGGGGCUCUGAUUGGCCGGAGAAAUGAGCACUUUUGGUGUAACAGCCAGAGAAUUAGGUGUGGCUUUCAAAGCAGCUAGCCCACCCUACUCUACUGGCCAGUUGCACUCACCACGGUUGGAUGUAGCCACGUGUGAGGAACUGGAUGAAAAGGGUGGGCAUGGAUUUGAGCUAGGGAGGGAGGCUACAGCUGAAAGACAACUCAUCUUCUUUCAAGCUCAACACUGUAACCUUCUCAAAUAUGGUUUGCAAAGAAAGGUUUUAAUGUUUCGUUAUCUAAGGUAAGCAUUUCAUCCCCGGAGGAAUGCUUGUAUUCCAAAGACAAUUCAAAAUGCAACCGUGGAGUGGGUGGGGCCCUUGCAGUUUAGAGGAGGUGGCUCAGGAGCUGCCCUGUGUAGAUUCGACUCCCCAUAUACUAAUCACCUGACCUUGAAAUUUCCUCAGUAAAAACCAUAAUCAUAGUUCAUCCUUAAUAUUUCAAAGUGAAAAUAUUUCAAAAUUAAAAGCCACAGUGAAACUGAAAUGUGUCACUGUGUUUCAGGUAAACUCUAGAAAUUUGUAAUGGCUUCCUUACUGCUGAGUUACAGGGAUCAAUACUUCCGGUAUGGACGGAUAUCUAUGAGCACAGAAGGUGAGUUUGACACUUGUUCUGUGUAACAUCCCAUUUGGAGAAUAAAUUUGACUUUGGGGGAGCCUUAUCUGCUGUCACAAUGAUGUAUCUGUUACAACUCCGAAGUCAUUUCCAUGACGAGCUGUUGAGGAACAUCCUCGGUCUCUCUUCUUUACCCAGUUCUACUUUCGAGACAUUGACAGAUAGGACCCUGUCACAGGGCUUUGUUUGUUCCUUUCCUUGUCAUUUGACUAGACUUAGUCCUUUAUUCCAGCUUGUCAUAGUUGUUUUGAAUAUUGAAUCUGUCAUCAAAUCUAUUUAUUAUCCAUUUCGUCUUCUCGUUGUUUGGAAAUCUGGAGUAUUUCCCAUCUGUAUCUUGGUCUAAGUCAUAAUAAAAGUACUGAAAAGGAGAGAACAAAGGAUAGAGCCCUAACAUGCAAUUUUAGAAACCUUUGGAUGUCACCAGCACUAUGGAGUAAAUCUUCCCAUGCUUAUAGAUUUAUAUCUGCGUAAGGUUCCUUCAGCCAUUCAUUUAUUCAUCGGCUGUCUACAUUGUUUAUGUGAAAGACCAAGUACUAAUGAUAUCAGGUUUUGGGGGGGGGCAAAUGUUCUUCGUUGUCACUAUUAAACUCUCUGUUUAAUUGUUUAA